AACCUUGAAUCCGGUGACCAAGAUCUCCAUCUCCACCGUCUCUCCCUACGCCAGCGGGCUUGGAUACGGGAGGCGAAGGCGUGGCCUUCUCCGUGGUUCGAUCUCUGAUCAAUGAUCACAAGAAACAGGUACCUUUUAUUGCAUCUCUCCUUCGUCUGCCAAUUUUAAUCAAUGAUCACAAGAAACAGGGUUUGCAGUUGAUUUCUCAAAGCUUGGAUUCUUGGUAUCAGUUUCUUGAACAAUAUGCAAAGGCGUCUGCUCGACUCCCAGGUUCAAUGAUCUCGGGAAGUAGGUAUUGUUUGUUAUCAGUUUCUUGGAAUUGUGGUGCUUGAUGUCAUUUUCUUUAAAGAUACGUAAUGAUGGCAUGUGCUUAGUCUUUGAUGAUUACACGGG
rnacentral:lncRNA from 1 species